rnacentral:rRNA from 1 species
CACGUAGGGCGCAAGCGUUGUCCGGAAUUAUUGGGCGUAAAGAGCUCGUAGGCGGUUUGUCGCGUCUGCUGUGAAAACCUGAGGCUCAACCUCGGGCUUGCAGUGGGUACGGGGCAGACUAGAGUGCGGUAGGGGUGACUGGAAUUCCCGGUGUAGCGGUGGAAUGCGUAGAGAUCGGGAAGAACAUCAGUGGCGAAGGCGGCCUGCUGGGCUGUUGCUGACGCUGAGGCGCGACAGCGUGGGGGAGCAAACAGG